GUCGCCGCACAAUCGGCGACCGGGUUUUGCAGCCCGACACAUGAGGCGCACCAGCGCCCAUCGAUCGAUGCACGGCGCUUUUUU
rnacentral:sRNA from 3 species